rnacentral:rRNA from 1 species
AACGAACGCUGGCGGCAGGCCUAAUACAUGCAAGUCGAACGCCCCUUUUAUAGGGGAGUGGCAGACGGGUGAGUAACGCGUGGGAACCUACCCAGUAGUAUGGAACAACACAGAGAAAUUUGUGCUAAUACCGUAUACGCCCUUCGGGGGAAAGAUUUAUCGCUAUUGGAUGGGCCCGCGUUGGAUUAGCUUGUUGGUGAGGUAACGGCUCACCAAGGCGACGAUCCAUAGCUGGUCUGAGAGGAUGAUCAGCCACACUGGGACUGAGACACGGCCCAGACUCUUACGGGAGGCAGCAGUAGGGAAUAUUGGACAAUGGGCGAAAGCCUGAUCCAGCCAUGCCGCGUGAGUGAUGACGGCCCUAGGGUUGUAAAGCUCUUUCAACGGUGAAGAUAAUGACGGUAACCGUAGAAGAA